UCCGGUGCAGUUGGGGCCACCAACCUUGCUAACUGAAGCGGAAACUCUUGACUUGUUAUCUUACAUUAACGGAAGCCCCCAGCAUCCUGGGAAGUUAUGGGGCUUACAGGUUAACUCUAGCCCUUACAUUGUCACUAAAAGUGUACUGUACCAUACACCUCCUCUGCUUCACGUUCCACAAAAGAUGAGCUGAAAUUUAAAGAGAGAGGGAAUGCGUGUCCUUCUAAUACUGGGAAAGAAGAGUAUAAAAGGGCAACAGAUAGCAGUUGAUUGGUUGAUGUCCAUCAGCGGGAUGAAGAAAGAAAAAUCUCAGAUGGUUGCAAAAAAUCUAUACAGGAAUAUUCAUCACAGUAUGACCAGGCAAAUCUGUAUCUUCUCUUCUAUCCAGAGUGAAAACAUCUACUGUUCCCCGUGGAAUCUAAUACACAGCGAGAUCUAAUGAAACCAUUGUUUCAGAAUGAGAUCCCCUCACAUCUCUCUCUCAUCUAUCAUCUAUCUACCCACAAUGGAUCUAUGUAUUCACAAUAUGCACAUAUAUUAAAUGAAGCCCAUCAUAUAUAGUGGAUAAUAUAUAUGUGCUAUAUCUUAUACAUAUAUAAUAGAAUAUAUGAAAUAAUGUGACAUAUGCACAACAGCUGCUAAGGAAUGAAUGAGAGAAUGAAUUCUUAUUCCUAACAGGAAUAUUUAAACCAGAUGAUUCAUCUCUUGGCAAGUCUUCUGCUCCUUUAAAGCCUAAUGCCGUGACCCUUUAAUACAGUUCCUAAUGUUGUGGAGACCCCCCAACCAUAAAUUACUCUCAUUGCUAUUCAUAACUGUAAUUUUGUCACUGUUAUGAAUUGCAAUGUAUACAUCUGUAUAUGUCUUAGAUGACCCCUGUGAAGAGGUCAUUUGACUCCCAAAGGGGUUGUGACCUGCAUUUUGAGAAAUGCUGUUCUAGAUUGUGACGAAACACAGCCACAUACCUUUACCUGAAUAAUUUUAUAGAAACAUAUACAAGUUUUUGUAUUAUAAAUAUCCAUAAUGUACAAAGUGUAAUUUGGAAACAUGUAUCAGAAGUUGGUUCCUGCCUCUGGGAGAGGCAGGUAGCGGCUGUAGCAACUUGAGAAAGACUGACACUUCCUGUCUUUCUUUACGUAGUUGGAAAUUUUGGAUUGGGUACAUUUUCAUCACCGAAUGACAUACACAUAGAAAAAGUAUAUCACCUAACAAGAUUUUAAGUGCAUAUGCUUUUUGAUUCAAAUAUUUCUCUCCCGAGAAUAAUAUCCUGCAAACGCAUCC
rnacentral:lncRNA from 1 species